GGACGUGUGCCCGAGAUCUAGGGAUUACUUUGAUAGAGUAAUACACAGGGAAUAGUUACCCCCUCACCUCCU
rnacentral:tRNA from 1 species